rnacentral:rRNA from 1 species
AGAGCGAACGCUGGCGGCAGGCCUAAUACAUGCAGGUCGAACGAAGCCUUCGGGCUUAGUGGCGGACGGGUGAGUAACACGUGGGAACGUACCCUUUGGCUCGGAACAACUCAGGGAAACUUGAGCUAAUACCGAAUGUGCCCCCAUCCUUAAAAAGAUGGGUGGGAAAGAUUUAUCGCCAUUGGAGCGGCCCGCGUCUGAUUAGCUAGUUGGUGAGGUAAAGGCCCACCAAGGCUACGAUCAGUAGCUGGUCUGAGAGGAUGAUCAGCCACACUGGGACUGAGACACGGCCCAGACUCCUACGGGAGGCAGCAGUAGGGAAUCUUGCGCAAUGGGCGAAAGCCUGACGCAGCCAUGCCGCGUGAAUGAUGAAGGUCUUAGGAUUGUAAAAUUCUUUCAGCGGGACGAUAAUGACGGUACCGCAGAAGAAGCCCGGCUAACUUCGCGCCAGCAGCCGC